rnacentral:rRNA from 1 species
GAAACGUGCUCCAAGAUUAGGAAUCGUUAUGAGACUCGUGAGAGAUUAUCACGUUGAUAGGCUCUAGGUGGAAGUGCCGCAAGGCAUGGAGCCGAGGAGUACUAAUAUGUCCAGUCUCCCGUGCGG